UAUAUAUAUAUCCUAGCUAUCCGGACCCAUAAAGUACGGCCUUUACCGUACCGACCAUUUCUAUACUUAUCUAUUCCACACCGAUCAUUUCUAUACUUAUUCAUUUAUUGAUUUAACUUAUUUCAAAAGAGAUUUGUAUAAUAGGUUGUUACGACGUAUUUCGUCAAUAACUCAAAUAAACAGUAGUUUAGUGCGUUAUCAUCAUCUUUUUGUUGUUUUGGAGGGUUAAAUCCUCCCUUUAACAUAACAAAUUUUUAAAUUUUUUAUGUCUUGCAGUGUAUAUUUAUCGCAAAAAAAUAAUAUAUAUAUCGCAAAAAAGACUUGCAAUUGCUAAAACAAAAUUUAAAAGUUUUCUUAUAUUAUAAUAUAUUAUAUGCGAUCGUUCAUAUACCGCCCGAUAACUCAACUUAUGCUAAAGACUCGGGGAUUUGUACGUAGCGCUAUACAAAGGACGGAACUUACACUUACAGGCAGUAGUACAUAACGCUGUGCGAAGGGUGGAACUAAGAAGAUGAGAAUUGAAGCAAAUGAAAGAAUUCAGUCAGAACUACCAAGUUGAACUUUGUAAAAAAAAGAACAAAAAUCAAAAAUGAUCGCAAAAAAAUGUUUAACUUAUCGAAAAAAAGAGAAAAAGAAAUGAAUAUUACAAAUUGAUAACCAUAAAAUCUUACUCAUCAAUAAAGAUAAAAAAUGUCAGAUGAAGAUAAAAAAUGUCAG